rnacentral:tRNA from 1 species
GCGUGGCUCAUAAAGGGCCCCCGGCCCGAGUAGCCGGGAGGACCCGGGUUCAAAUCCCGGCCCCCGCA